UGUGUACUCCCUCCGUUCCAAAAUACUUGACUUCCAUUUGUCCAAAAAUGGAUGUACCUAUAUACUAAAACAUGUCUAGAUACAUAUAUAUUUUGACAAAUAUAAGGCAUGUAUUGUGCAACCGAGGGAGUAGAAU
rfam:Triticum aestivum genome assembly, contig: Triticum_aestivum_CS42_TGACv1_scaffold_095560_2AL